AUCAAAUCAAACUUUAUUUAUAUAGCACCUCCAAAACAAUACAUUUCUAGACAAAUAUGAAAUUAAGAUAGAUCAAAGAAGAGAGAUAAACAAUAGCAAAACAACAGAGGACCUGAGACCGACACCAAGAAGACUCACUCAGGACUGUCAGAGCCUCCGUACCACCCUACUGACAGGACAGGACUGUCAGAGCCUCCGUACCACCCUACUGACAGGACUGUCAGAGCCUCCGUACCACCCUACUGACAGGACAGGACUGUCAGAGCCUCCGUACCACCCUACUGACAGGACUGUCAGAGCCUCCGUACCACCCUACUGACAGGACAGGACUGUCAGGGCCUCCGUACCACCCUACUGACAGGACAGGACUGUCAGGGCCUCCGUACCACCCUACUGACAGGACAGGACUGUCAGGGCCUCCGUACCACCCUACUGACAGGACAGGACUGUCAGGGCCUCCGUACCACCCUACUGACAGGACAGGACUGUCAGGGCCUCCGUACCACCCUACUGACAGGACAGGACUGUCAGGGCCUCCGUACCACCAUACUGACAGGACUGUCAGAGCAUCCGUACCACCAUACUGACAGGGCAGGACUGUCAGGGCCUCCGUACCACCAUACUGACAGGACUGUCAGAGCCUCCGUACCACCAUACUGACAGGACUGUCAGAGCCUCCGUACCACCAUACUGACAGGACUGUCAGAGCCUCCGUACCACCAUACUGACAGGACAGGACUAUCAGAGCCUCCGUACCACCAUACUGACAGGACAGGACUGUCAGAGCCUCCGUACCACCAUGCUGACAGGACUGUCAGAGCCUCCGUACCACCCUACUGACAGGACAGGACUAUCAGAGCCUCCGUACCACCCUACUGACAGGACAGGACUGUCAGGGCCUCCGUACCACCCUACUGACAGGACAGGACUGUCAGAGCCUCCGUACCACCCUACUGACAGGACAGGACUGUCAGAGCCUCCGUACCACCCUACUGACAGGACAGGACUGUCAGGGCCUCCGUACCACCCUACUGACAGGACAGGACUGUCAGAGCCUCCGUACCACCAUGCUGACUGGACAGGACUGUCAGAGCCUCCGUACCACCAUGCUGACUGGACAGGACUAUCAGAGCCUCCGUACCACCAUACUGACAGGACUGUCAGAGCCUCCGUACCACCCUACUGACAGGACAGGACUGUCAGAGCCCCCGUACCACCCUACUGACAGGACUGUCAGAGCCUCCGUACCACCAUACUGACAGGACUGUCAGAGCCUCCGUACCACCCUACUGACAGGACAGGACUGUCAGAGCCUCCGUACCACCAUGCUGACUGGACAGGACUGUCAGAGCCACCGUACCACCCUACUGACAGGACAGGACUGUCAGAGCCUCCGUACCACCAUACUGACAGGACAGGACUGUCAGAGCCUCCGUACCACCAUACUGACAGGACUGUCAGAGCCUCCGUACCACCAUACUGACAGGACAGGACUGUCAGAGCCUCCGUACCACCCUACUGACAGGACAGGACUGUCAGAGCCUCCGUACCACCAUACUGACAGGACAGGACUGUCAGAGCCUCCGUACCACCAUGCUGACAGGACAGGACUGUCAGAGCCUCCGUACCACCAUACUGACAGGACAGGACUGUCAGAGCCUCCGUACCACCAUACUGACAGGACAGGACUGUCAGAGCCUCCGUACCACCCUACUGACAGGUCAGGACUGUCAGAGCCUCCGUACCACCCUACUGACAGGUCAGGACUGUCAGAGCCUCCGUACCACCCUACUGACAGGACAGGACUGUCAGAGCCUCUGUACCACCCUGCUGACAGGACAGGACUGUCAGAGCCUCUGUACCACCAUGCUGACUGGCUACUAAUCAAGUCAUGUCAAAACAACAGAUUUGUCUCUCCAGUUUUGUGGAUACUAGAUGUAUAAAAAUAAGGAAAAGUCCUAUCUGAAUCAUACAGGCUGUAGAUAGACAGUCUCCCUUGUGUGUCAGUCUCAGUCCCACCGUGUGCCAUUGACAGGUCAUGUAAGUUAUGCUCCCCAUCCUAUAAUGCAAAACUCCAUUAAGAUUGAGUCAGAGGUGGUGAAACGUUUAUAAAAAGCUCAGUGUAGGGGGCUACCGAGUGGGGCAGAAGUCUAAGGUGUUACUACGGUCCUGGGUUCAUAUCCAGGGCUGUGCCACAACCGACCGUGGUAGGGAGUCCCAUAGGACGGCGCACAAUUGUCCCAGCGUCGUCCGGGUUAGGAGAGGGUUUGGCCCGGCGUCGUCCGGGUUAGGGGUGGGUUUGGCCCAGCAUCGUCCGGGUUAGGGGAAGGUUUGGCCCAGCAUCGUCCGGGUUAGGAGAGGGUUUGGCCCAGCAUCGUCCGGAUUAGGGGAAGGUUUGGCCCAGCGUCGUCCGGGUUAGGAGAGGGUUUGGCCCAGCGUCGUCUUGGUUAGGAGAGGGUUUGGCCGGUGGGGCUUUACUUGGCUCAUCACACUCUAGCGACUCCUUGUGGCAGGCCGGGUGCCUGCGGGCUGACCCCUGAUGCCAGUUGAAUGGUGUUUUCCUCCGACACAUUGGUGCGGCUGGCUUCCGGGUUAAGCUGGCGGGUGUUAAGGAGCGCGGUUUGGCAGGUCAUGUUUCGAAGGACGUAUGGACUCCACCUUCGCCUCUCCUGAGCCCAUUGGGGAGUUGCAGCGAUGACAAGAUUGAACAAUUUGGGAGAAAGGGGGGGAUAAAAUAUAGAAUAAAUAAAUAAAAUAAGAAAAGCUCAGUGUAUAGCCUUGAGGAAAUACAUCCUAGUUUCCUAUCCUUUGGGUGAUGAGGCAUAGAUCAUUGACGGUCAUAUGCCUUGUGACUCUAUACCACAUCUGUCCGGAAUAUUCUGUGACUGAUAUUAUUCCCUGUCAAUCAUUCCCUAACAGCAGGUGUGUGUGUGUGUGUGUGUGUAGUCAGUAAUAAUCGUGGACAUUCCCUGUGCUGACGACUCAUGUUGAGCUCCCAGUAUUGGAGUUAGUUAGCGGUUGACUCACAACAAAAAGAGACAGAGAAGUUCCUGAUAUGGGAGAAAUGACCAGAGAGAACAGAGAACUAAGGAAAUGAAACUCGGGGAGCUGCUUUCAAGCUCUUACAUUCAUCACCAGGUAUGUUUUAACUGUGUCGACUAGAAGUUAUGACAUAUACACACAUAUACACAGUGCAUUUGGAAAGUACUCAGACCCCUUGGGUUUUUUCCACAUUUUGUUAGGUUACAGCCUUAUUCCUCAAAUCAAUCUUCACACAAUAUCCCAUAACGACAAAGCAAAAACAGGAUUGUAGCAAUGUUUGCUAAUUUAUAAAGCAAUUAAACUGAAAUAUCACAUUUACUUAAGUAUUCAGACUCUUUCUUCCGGUACUUUGUUGAAGUACCUUUGGCAGCGAUUACAGCCUCGAGUCUUCUUGGGUAUGACACUACAAGCUUGGCACACCUGUAUUUGGAGAGUUUCUCCCAUUCUUCUCUGCAGAUCCUCUUAAGCUCUGUCAGGUUGGAUGGGGAGCGUCGCUGCAAAGCUAUUUUCAGGUCUCUCCAGAGAUGUUCGAUCAGGUUUAAGUCUGGGCUCUGGCUGGGCCACUAAAGGACAUUCAGAGACGUAUCCAGAAGCCAC